rnacentral:sRNA from 1 species
GAGCUGUACCAAGAUGCUGAUGAGGGGCUGCAGCAUGCAAUUCACUUCACCAGCAGUCAAUAAGAGUCUCGCUCUGUAGCCAGGCUGGAGUGCAGUGGCACAAUCUUGGCUCACUGCAACAUUCACCUCCUGGGUUCAAGAAAUUCACCUGCCUCAGCCUCCCGAAUAGUUGGGACUGCAGAGGAAAGGCCAUGUGAAGAUAGAGAAAAGGCUGCCAUCUCCAGGUCAGGAAGAGAGGCCUCACCAGAAACCAACUUGGACUUCUAGCAUCUAGAACUAUGUUUAUUGUAAGGAUUAAAUCAGCUAAACCAAGAAAAGCCUCAGGGAUGGUGCCUGGCAAACUGCACGCUGUUAAUACAUGUUAGUGGACCGUUCUCCACACCUUCCUGCUACACUAAAGCAGAGAGAAUUACCUCCUGAAUCAUGUUUGCAGAACUUCUGGGCACAGUGACUCAACUCCCAGCUAUUCUUGUCAUGGAUUUUUUCUCUUGGAGCCAAUCCAGCCAUGGAGAUCACUGGUCUUGUGACUUAUUUUUUCUCUUUCAGUAUGAAAUCAUUAGAACUGAGAAAAUGAAAACAUUCCUGUUAUUACUUCCUGAGAGAAAGAAACUUAGUAACAUGCUUUGGUAGGAAUUGUUCUUCUUUCUCCUGCUGUGUCCCUCUUGCUGGUCCCACCAGGGCUCUUGGUCCUGAGCCUGAUUUACACCAGGAGCAUAAUCUGAUCAAAAAGAGGGAAACUAAAGAAAAAAGGCAGGAUUGUAUGAGGGGUUCUCACAAUGGCAGUACAUAAUCCCUUAUACCUCGUAUUAAGUAGCCCCCUGUGUUUCCAAGUUACCUUUGUAAUUUAGGUAAGUGAGC